UACGGGGGGGGCAAGCGUUGUUCGGAAUUACUGGGCGUAAAGGGCUCGUAGGCGGCCAACUAAGUCAUACGUGAAAUCCCUCGGCUUAACCGGGGAACUGCGUCUGAUACUGGAUGGCUUGAGUUCGGGAGAGGGAUGCGGAAUUCCAGGUGUAGCGGUGAAAUGCGUAGAUAUCAGGAGGAACACCGGUGGCGAAGGCGGGUCUCUGGGCAACAACUGACGCUGAGGAGCGAAAGCGUGGGGAGCGAACAGG
rnacentral:rRNA from 1 species